UACGUAGGUGGCAAGCGUUGUCCGGAUUUACUGGGCGUAAAGAGCGCGCAGGCGGUCGUUCAAGUCGCGUGUGAAAGCCCCCCGGCUCAACUGGGGAGGGUCACGCGAUACUGAUCGACUCGAAGGCAGGAGAGGGAAGUGGAAUUCCCGGUGUAGUGGUGAAAUGCGUAGAUAUCGGGAGGAACACCAGUGGCGAAGGCGGGUCUCUGGACAGUUCCUGACGCUGAGGCACGAAGGCCAGGGGAGCAAACGGGG
rnacentral:rRNA from 1 species